AUUGAACGCUGGCGGCAGGCCUAACACAUGCAAGUCGAACGAGUGGCGGACGGGUGAGUAACGUCUGGGAAACUGCCUGAUGGAGGGGGAUAACUACUGGAAACGGUAGCUAAUACUGCAUACCAUCAGAUGUGCCCAGAUGGGAUUAGCUAGUAGGUGGGUUAAAGGCUGACCUAGGCGACAAUCCCUAGCUGGUCUGCGAGGAUGACCAGCCACACGGGAACUGAGAAACGGUCCAGACUCCUACGGGAGGCAGCAGUGGGGAAUGUGCCACAAUGGGCGCAAGCCUGAUGGAGCCAUGCCGCGUGUAUGAAGAAGGCCUUCGGGUUGUAAAGUACUUUCAGCGGGGAGGCGUUACCCGCAGAGGAAGCACCGGCUAACUCCGUGCCAGCAGCCGCGGUAAUAC
rnacentral:rRNA from 1 species